UCCGUAGGCGGACUAAUAAGUCAGGGGUGAAAUCCCACAGCUUAACUGUGGAACUGCCUUUGAUACUGUUAGUCUUGAGUUAUAUGGAAGUAGAUAGAAUGUGUAGUGUAGCGGUGAAAUGCAUAGAUAUUACACAGAAUACCGAUUGCGAAGGCAGUCUACUACGUAUAUACUGACGCUAAUGGACGAAAGCGUGGGGAGCGAACAGGAUUAGAUACCCUGGUAGUCC
rnacentral:rRNA from 1 species